GAUGAACGCUAGCGGGAGGCCUAACACAUGCAAGCCGAGCGGUAUUUGUCUUUCGGGACAGAGAGAGCGGCGUACGGGUGCGGAACACGUGUGCAACCUGCCUUUAUCAGGGGGAUAGCCUUUCGAAAGGAAGAUUAAUACCCCAUAAUAUAAUGAGUGGCAUCACUUAUUAUUGAAAACUCCGGUGGAUAGAGAUGGGCACGCGCAAGAUUAGAUAGUUGGUAGGGUAACGGCCUACCAAGUCAGUGAUCUUUAGGGGGCCUGAGAGGGUGAUCCCCCACACUGGUACUGAGACACGGACCAGACUCCUACGGGAGGCAGCAGUGAGGAAUAUUGGACAAUGGGUUAGCGCCUGAUCCAGCCAUCCCGCGUGAAGGAUGACGGCCCUAUGGGUUGUAAACUUCUUUUGUAUAGGGAUAAACCUACUCUCGUGAGAGUAGCUGAAGGUACUAUACGAAUAAGCACCGGCUAACUCCGUGCCAGCAGCCGCGGUAAUACGGAGGGUGCAAGCGUUAUCCGGAUUUAUUGGGUUUAAAGGGUCCGUAGGCGGAUCUGUAAGUCAGUGGUGAAAUCUCAUAGCUUAACUAUGAAACUGCCAUUGAUACUGCAGGUCUUGAGUAAAGUAGAAGUGGCUGGAAUAAGUAGUGUAGCGGUGAAAUGCAUAGAUAUUACUUAGAACACCAAUUGCGAAGGCAGGUCACUAUGUUUUAACUGACGCUGAUGGACGAAAGCGUGGGGAGCGAACAGGAUUAGAUACCCUGGUAGUCCACGCCGUAAACGAUGCUAACUCGUUUUUGGGCUUUCGGGUUCAGAGACUAAGCGAAAGUGAUAAGUUAGCCACCUGGGGAGUACGUUCGCAAGAAUGAAACUCAAAGGAAUUGACGGGGGCCCGCACAAGCGGUGGAUUAUGUGGUUUAAUUCGAUGAUACGCGAGGAACCUUACCAAGGCUUAAAUGGGAAUUGACAGGUUUGGAAACAGACUUUUCUUCGGACAAUUUUCAAGGUGCUGCAUGGUUGUCGUCAGCUCGUGCCGUGAGGUGUUAGGUUAAGUCCUGCAACGAGCGCAACCCCUGUCACUAGUUGCCAUCAUUCAGUUGGGGACUCUAGUGAGACUGCCUACGCAAGUAGAGAGGAAGGUGGGGAUGACGUCAAAUCAUCACGGCCCUUACGCCUUGGGCCACACACGUAAUACAAUGGCCGGUACAGAGGGCAGCUACCAGGUGACUGGAUGCGAAUCUCGAAAGCCGGUCUCAGUUCGGAUUGGAGUCUGCAACUCGACUCUAUGAAGCUGGAAUCGCUAGUAAUCGCGCAUCAGCCAUGGCGCGGUGAAUACGUUCCCGGGCCU
rnacentral:rRNA from 1 species